rnacentral:rRNA from 1 species
AUUGAACGCUGGCGGCAGGCCUAACACAUGCAAGUCGAGCGGAUGAAGGGAGCUUGCUCCUGGAUUCAGCGGCGGACGGGUGAGUAAUGCCUAGGAAUCUGCCUGGUAGUGGGGGAUAACGUCCGGAAACGGGCGCUAAUACCGCAUACGUCCUGAGGGAGAAAGUGGGGGAUCUUCGGACCUCACGCUAUCAGAUGAGCCUAGGUCGGAUUAGCUAGUUGGUGGGGUAAAGGCCUACCAAGGCGACGAUCCGUAACUGGUCUGAGAGGAUGAUCAGUCACACUGGAACUGAGACACGUUCCAGACUCCUACGGGAGGCAGCAGUGGGGAAUAUUGGACAAUGGGCGAAAGCCUGAUCCAGCCAUGCCGCGUGUGUGAAGAAGGUCUUCGGAUUGUAAAGCACUUUAAGUUGGGAGGAAGGGCAGUAAGUGAAUACCUUGUUGUUUUGACGUUACCAACAGAAUAAGCACCGGCUAACUUCGUG